CGGACGGGUGAGUAAUGUCUGGGAAACUGCCUGAUGGAGGGGGAUAACUACUGGAAACGGUAGCUAAUACCGCAUAACGUCGCAAGACCAAAGAGGGGGACCUUAGGGCCUCUUGCCAUCGGACGUGCCCAGAUGGGAUUAGCUAGUAGGUGGGGUAACAGCUCACCUAGGCGACGAUCCCUAGCUGGUCUGAGAGGAUGACCAGCCACACUGGAACUGAGACACGGUCCAG
rnacentral:rRNA from 1 species